AGGCAACGGGUUUUGGUCCCCCCCCUUGGGGGUUUGAAUCCCUCCSUCCCCGA
rnacentral:tRNA from 1 species